UACAGAGGUCUCAAGCGUUGUUCGGAUUCAUUGGGCGUAAAGGGUGCGUAGGCGGCGCGGUAAGUCGGGUGUGAAAGCCCCGGGCUCAACCUGGGAAUUGCAUUCGAGACUGUGUAGCUAGGGUACGGAAGAGGGAAGCGGAAUUUCAGGUGUAGCGGUGAAAUGCGUAGAUAUCUGAAGGAACACCAGUGGCGAAGGCGGCUUCCUGGACCGGUUCUGACACUGAGGAGCGAAAGCGUGGGGAGCGAUCCGG
rnacentral:rRNA from 1 species